rnacentral:rRNA from 1 species
AAGCGAACAUGUGAGUGCAAGCGAAUCCCAAAAAUAACGUCUCAGUUCGGAUUGUAGUCUGCAACUCGACUACAUGAAGCUGGAAUCGCUAGUAAUCGCGAAUCAGAAUGUCGCGGUGAAUACGUUCCCGGGUCUUGUACACACCGCCCGUCACACCAUGGGAGUCAGUAACGCCCGAAGCCGGUGACCUAACCGAAAGGGAGGAGCCGUCGAAGGUGGGACCGAUAACUGGGGUGAAGUCGUAACAAGGUACC